CUACGUGCCAGCAGCCGCGGUAAUACGGAAGGUCCAGGCGUUAUCCGGAUUUAUUGGGUUUAAAGGGAGCGUAGGCGGAUUAUUAAGUCAGUGGUGAAAGACGGUGGCUCAACCAUCGUUAGCCAUUGAAACUGGUAGUCUUGAGUGCAGACAGGGAUGCUGGAACUCGUGGUGUAGCGGUGAAAUGCUUAGAUAUCACGAUGAACUCCGAUCGCGAAGGCAGGUGUCCGGGCUGCAACUAACGCUGAGGCUCGAAAGUGUGGGUAUCAAACAGGAUUAGAUACCCUGGUAGUCCACACAGUAAACGAUGUAUACUCGCGGUUUGCGAUAGACAGUAAGCCGCCAAGCGAAAGCAUUAAGUAUACCACCUGGGGAGUACGCCGGCAACGGUGAAACUCAAAGGAAUUGACGGGGGCCCGCACAAGCGGAGGAACAUGUGGUUUAAUUCGAUGAUACGCGAGGAACCUUACCCGGGCUUGAAC
rnacentral:rRNA from 1 species